AUGUGCCCCAAACAAGACCGUGGUGGUAGUUAUGUCCAGACUCCAUUACCUGAAAAGCAGCGAGGAGCAAAAGUGUCUUGUGCUAGACAGCAAAAUAGGAUGGGGGGUAAUGCAACCCUGAUAAUUUUCCUGGGAUUUGCCAUCUAUCUGAUGAGUUUGUUCCCAGCCACUUACUGCUCAGAAGUUUUUCCUCUGAAAAUCCAGAGCAUGAUUCGCACUACUGAGGAUGAACAGGAAGAGGGAAACAGUCCAACAGCAGACUGGGAGGAAAUGGAGGAGUCAUUUGUGGCCUCAUCAAUAGGGGAAGGAAUGGAGGUGAUUGAUAUGGUGGAGCCUGAGGGCUCAGAGACACUGAGCAAUUCAGCAGUGAAGGAUUUGCUCUUGGAUCUGGCUCUUCUCCUCAAGAUUGGUUGUUUUUUGUUGCUUUUUUUUCUUUAA
rnacentral:lncRNA from 1 species